CUUACCAUGUGCUAAGUAGCCAGUGAGCUCUGAGCGAGACUGAUGGGUUAAUACACCGGGGGGUGGACAGGACAGAAGGGACCAGGACCUCAGCGAGGCCCCAGAAAGCUCACAGGAGGGGCCUCCGAUCCUGCCUGGGGAGGGAGGGCUUAGGGUAGGAUUCCUGGAAGAAGGAGGACCUAGGCUGAGUGUUUCUAUUUUUAAUUUUUAUUGGUUUCCUAAAACAUAAAAGU
rfam:Equus caballus chromosome 31, whole genome shotgun sequence.